CAUUUAUGAUGGCUGUUCAAUAUUUCAUCACGUCUAUGAGCCAGAUGGAGUCAACUCGUUUCUAUUGUGAGGCACUUUAGGUUGUUUCCAUUUUUCUUUUCUAUUGGAAAAAAUAUAGAAAAUAUCUGUUUACAUUUAUUUUUGUGGACAACUUUUAUUUCCUAAAUUCCUAGAAGAGGAACUAUGGGGUCAAAAGUCACAAACAUGUAAAAUCUUGUCAUAGAUACUGCCAGCUUGCCUCCAAAUUAGCAUCCUGUCUCCCCUCCCCAGCCAUGGUGAGUGAGCCACUGACCUCACUCCAUCAGGGCUGGUCUUAUUGCUAUUUGCCAUCUCUGCUAGUUUGUCUCAAUAACUUACCUUGGCCAAGCCCAUGGUAGGCUUUCCCUGGAAGUCAGUGGAGCACUAGGGUUGCAAUGAUAGGACAGUGCCCUGGGCCUUCCAGAACAAGCAAAUCAGAGCCAGGGGGAUCCCCCAGGCUCAAAGGACAGGCUGGCUUCAAUGGCAGAUGACCAGGGAGCGAGAGCCAGCCUGACCGCAGAAGUGUCACAGAUAAAACUCACGUUACAGUGUAGGCUAGGUCUUAGACUUGGCCCCAUAAACCUUCUCACUCCCAAUCCCCACAGAUAAGAUGCACACACAUAGACACACUCAUUGAUGCACAGAGGGACAAACACACUUGCAUAGAUAUGCAGGUCCUAGUUGGCUAGGUCUGUCCUGCCUUCCGUAUAUUGGCUCCCAUUUCUCUCUAGGACCUAAAUCUAAGCCUGCCUUGGAAGGAUAGGCUGUUCCCUAAUUGCCACCUCUUCAAAAAGCAUGCCCAAUCUCUUGGAGAAAGGGAAUGAGUGGAAUUGCCUAGAGAAUGAUCUGUGUGGGCCUUGGACCGGACCAAGAGAUGGUCCUGCCAGAUCCCCCCAGAGGGCCCCUUUCUGGCCUUUCUCCAGCCAUGACCUUCCCCACAAGGUAAAUCCCCUGGGCCAUAGGGACAUGUCUUCUUAGAGUCCUGGCCUUCAUUUUAGACCAUGCCCUAAGUACCUGGGACCUGGAAUUCCCUGAGUCCAUGGUCUGAAUGAGCCUCUUCCCUGAUCACCUUCGCCAGAGUGAGAGGACCUCAUCACUAGUGUGCAUACUCCUGGCCUGGAAGUGACCAAGGGUUAACUGUGGGAGUGUGGAUGCCAUUUGGAUAUGUGAGCUAGGAUAUCUGCUCACAGGCAUGCAAAGAACUCCCAGCAUGACGUAAGGCUAGAGCUGGGAAGAGAAAGGGGUCACACUGUAAACUAUAGGUUGGGGACCAGCUCUCCCCAGGUCACCACAUUUCAGCAUAGAACUGAGAGUAGUGGCUCAUCCCUAUAAUCCCAGCACUUUGGGAGGCCAAGGCAGGUAGAUCACCUGAGGUCAGGAGUUUGAGACCAGCCUGAUUGUUUGUUUGUUUGAUUUACAACCUUUCAAUGUUUUGACACAUGCUAUGUGGGCCUCCACUGUCCUUGUGUCCCUACAAAUGUUCAAAGCUGACCUGAAAGAGAGGCUUGCAAGGCUUGAGCCCAUGCUCGGAUGUGUAGGAGAAACAAAAAUGAGUCUGUGAGUCAAGACAGUGGGUGCCCCAGGCCCCAGCAUGAUGAGGCUGCCCUGCUGGAGUGGCUGUGACUCAUGCCUUUCUUUUCAGAUCACUUUCAGGGGAGAUCACCUUGAGGCCUGCCUCCUUUCCCUGGGUUGUGAUGUGAUGGCAAGAGAAUGCAGCAACUUUGAGACCUACUCCAUGUGCUUUGAGCAUGUGUUGCGUCAUGCUAAGCAGAGGCUCAGCCACAAAAAGCAAGUUGCAGAGCUCAGUCAUGAUAUGAUCAUGGAAGUCACUGCUCUGAGAGCCCAACGCACAGACUUGGAAGAGGUGAAUCUGAAUCUCAAGAAGCAGAUUAGAAAAGAAGUCCAAGAAGAAUAUGAAGCAUUGGUCCAAGCUUUGUUGAGACCUGUUUACACAAAAGAGAAGCUGGAUGAGAAUCAGCUUAAUUUGAUCCAGAAAGCGUGUGAGCUCAGCGGUGAAGUGAGAACAGAAGGGACUGACAAUAUGAAGGACCUAAAGAAAAAAUGGGUCUCUGCCAGCCCCGAUGAAGGAAUGAAAGAAAAUCCAGCCAAAGAACAGCUGUGGGCCCUGGAGUGGGACAAUUGCAGCCUGGCCACCCUGGUGUGCAAAGUGAGGAGCCUGGGCCGCUGGAGGCUGGCUGUGCAGCAGGCAUGCUUCCAGGCCCAGCUGAGCAGGUCAGAGAAGGAAUUUAUUGAAAGUAAAUAAGAAUGUUUGCACAUCAAACUAAUGGCAGAGCAAGAAGUGGGUUUAUUCCGUCAGCAGGUCCUGGCUUUCAGCAGGCCCUGGCCAGGGUGCAGGCCGACAGCGUGAGGAUGUGAAAGCAGCAGGACAGCCAUGCUCAACUGCUGAAGGCGUUAAAACAUAGAGUGACCCAGGAAGCUCUCACCCAGCGGGAGCUGGAUUUCAUGAAAACAUCCAGCAUGAAGAAGCUCUUGGAAGAUGUGGGGCAAAAAGAACAGCAACUGCAGCUCCUUAGUGAAGAGGCUGAGAGGGCUUCUAAGCUGGGCCAACUGCAGCAGAAAACAUGAAGAGAGACCUCCACCAGAUGAGAGCCCGGCUUGCCAAGGAGAGCAGCAUGAAGCUGGAUGCUCUCCAGUGUAUAGAGGAGCUGCAGAGUCAGCUUCAUGAUGCCCAACACUCAGCUGUCCCCACGGGCUCACCAGGCGGCCUUAUGUCCCAGGCUCAAUACUCCCUAAGUUCUGCUUCCACAUCAUCCAGAUACUCCCAGCAACACUUUUUAAAGACUAAUCUCACAGGCAGUAAAAUAACAGGACAGAUUCAAAGGCCACAGACUGUAAGUACUUAUUAAACACAAAGGAUUGAUGAUGUUUUCCUACCUAAUAUGGCAGAAAAUAUUCACCUGACAGCUUUUCAGGUCCAAACAGCUCCAUCCAGAUUCCCAUUUAGAGCUGACUGGUGAUCAUAUCUUCUUUUUCCAACCUUUAUUUCUACGAGUACUUGAAUGAAUAAAAAUAACUCUAAAAGCCAGUAUACCUCGUAUUUUAUGAAUUUUUCUUAUCUGUACUUGGAAGAUAGUGUUGAAGGAUUGAGAUGAUUACAUCUUGAGUGUCCCAGGUGAAGUAAUGGGUUGGUCCUAGACUUUAAAACCUAAGCAUUGAUUUGAAUUCCUGCAAGCUACAUGGUGGAGUGCUACUUGUGUGGCACCUCCUGUGAAGGGGCCCCUCCAGCACCCCUUUGAGUGGUUUUGCAGUCUCAGUGAACUUCCCAACCAUUUAAUAAGCUUUGGGCAGAUCCUCUCCAAUGAGGUCUGGAUCUCAGCCCUGAAGGGUAGUGUCUGGUUCCUAUAUCUGCUAUCCUUGUAUUCUUUAGAGUUCUCUUUAUUGCUUAUAAGCAAUAUGCCAGUCCUUUUUUAUAGUUAAUUCUUUAAAUCAAACUUUCCCUAUUUGAAUUACUGUGUGCUUUCUGUCUCUUGAUUGGCCCAUGACUGAUACAGAACUUGUUCCAGGAGUGGGGUGUUCCCAGAGGAUAGACCUGCUAUGGUUUGGAUGUUUUGUCUUCUCCAAAAUUCAGGUUAAAAUUUAAUCCCCAAUGUGGCAGUACUGAAAGGUAAGACCUUUAAGAGGUGAUUGGGUCAUAAGGACUGUGUCCUUAUGAAUGGAUUGAUCUAUUCAUGGAUUAAUGGAUUACCUGUGGUAGAUUGUGCUAAAGUACCUGAUGAAGCAUGUGCCUUUAGAAGCCUAUAAAUUGUUAGUACAUUGACUCUCAUGGCAGUCAUGUUGACUAUAGAGACUGUGGUGUGAGGUGGAUUUUUCUGAAUGCACAUCAGCACUUAAAGGAAGAAAAUGACAAGCUUAUGACCUUUAAUUCUGGGCUUAAGUCAUGGUCUGAAAACUAGAGAGCUUCCAUGAUAGCCCUAAAAGUAUCUCUUCCCUUCUCAUAGUCACAGGGAUGAUACUGCUAAAAAUCAAGCACAAAUUUGUAUUAUGGGCAUGCUAAAUUACAAUGAUAGUUGGAUUUACAAGCUCAUCAAGUUUCUCAUUGCCACUGAGAUGGGCCCUGUGAUUUCAAUGAAGAAAAUGCAAUUCCAAAGUGGAAAAGCCAGGUUGGCAGGCUUUAACUGGCAAAAGACAAGGUGGGCACAUCCAUUAUAAAGGGCAAUAGGGUUGUAUAAGUGGUCAGAAUUCCUUGGCCUGCAGAGAUCUUUGGUAGUUAAUGUGUCCCCAGGUAUGGAAUCAUAUGAAAUCAUAGAGAAUUGCUUUGUGUAUGUAACAGAAAAAUCUUUAGGUCUAGUAGCCAAAACUUGAGUCACCAUAGUGGAGAGUCACAGCCUCUGACCCAGAUUCCAGAUUUAGGUCAAUUCACAGACCAGAGGUCCUUGACUGAUGGGGAGGCUGGAUGUCUUUGAGGAAGGACCCUACACUGCUGCAGGUUCAUGUUAUAAAUCUUCGUCCUAACCAUUCCCUAAGGGACCUGCAAUCAUUUUCUUAAAUUGCUGUUCUUCAGAUAAAAGAAAGUACCCAGAGAUUUUGGUGGUUACUAGACCCAGGGCCUAAAUUAAUGCUAAUUCUUGGGUACCCAAAACACCACUGUGGCUUACUAGUCAAAAUGAAGGCUUACAGUAGUCAGGUGACAGAAGGAAUCAUAGCUCAGGUCUGAAUUACAGUGGACCAAAUUGGUACAUGGACCCACCCUGUGACUACUUCCCCAGUUCCUGAGUGAAUAAUUAGAAUAAAUAAAAUUAACAAUAUGAAGAAUUUCCAUAUUGGUGUUUUUGACACAUGAGUUGAGAAUCAAUUACGGUAGGAAGGGAUCAUUGGAAGCCCCUGGAACUUUCCCUAUCAAAAGAGCGAACCAGAAGCAAUUCCACAACCCUGGAGAAAUGGCCCUGGGCAUUAAUGCCACCAUCAAAGACUUGAAAGCAGCAAGGGUGAUGAUACUCAUCCCUUUGUCAUUUAACUCACCACUUUGGCCUGUGCAAAAGACAGAUCUUAGAAAAUAACUAGGGAGUAUCAGGUCCACAUCUUAAUGAGGUAGUGAUUCCAAUUGUAGCUGCUGUCACAGACUUAUCUUUACUGAAAUAAAUUAAUACGCUCCUGGCACUUGGCAGGCAGUCAUUAACGUAAAGCCUUUUGCACCGUGAGAAGCAGUUUGCUUUUACCUGGCAAAGCCACAGUAUAUCUUGAUAGUCUUGCCUCAAAGCUUUGUCAGUUCUCCUUCUCUCUGCUAUGAUACAGUCCACAGCGACCUUGUUCAUCAUGAUAUUCCACACAAUAUCACAUUGGUCCACUAUAUUGAUAACAUUAUGCUGACUGGAAAUAAUGAGCAAGAAGUGGCAAGUACUUAGGUGCUUAAUAAAACAUAAAAACUAGAAGGUGAAAGAAAAAAAUCCCGUAAUUCAGAAACUCAGUGAAGUUUCUAGGGGUUCAAUGAUUUGGAACAAGUUAAAAUAUCCAUAUCCAAAAUGAAAAAUAAGUUGCUGCACUUCACACUAUGCACCAUGAUUAAAGAGACAGGAUGCUUGGUAGGUCAUUUUGAAUUUUGAAGGCAACAUAUACUUUGAGUGUGCUACCUCGACCCAUCUAGAGUCACUCAUAAGAUUAUCGUUUUUUGAGUGGGGACCAGAGCAAGGAAGGCUCUAUACUAAGUUUGAGUUAUAGCACAAGCUGCUCUACCAUGUGGGUCUUAUGAUCCAGCAGAUCCAAUGAUACUGAAAGUAUCAUGGCCUAUAGGAAUAUUGUGUGGAGCCCCCAUCAAGCACCAGUAGUAGAAUCACGGGGAAGCAAACCUAUGUCUUUUAAAGAUUGCUACUCUCCUUUUAAGAAACAGUUUCUGUCUUACUGCUGUGCCUUAGUAGAGACUGAAUACCUAACCAUGGGAUAGCAGAGGAUCAUGUGGCCUAAGCUUUCCAUCAUAAUGUGGAUGUUGUUAGCUAGCCUAGUCACACAGACUUAGCUUGCCUUAGCAGGUCUGAAGGGAGAAGCAUAGCUUGCUUGAACAGGUGGCUCAGACUCUUUCAACACCAACUCCUGUUUCAUUGCCUUCUCUCCCUCAACCCAUACCCAUGGUCUCCUGGGGGUGGUUCUAACAACCAACUGGCCAAGAAAGAAAAAAAAAAUCAAGUCUAGUUUACAGAUUGGUCUGCGUAUGUUGGUGGCAACCCCUCAGGGCAGUGGUCAAAAAAAAAAAAAAAAAUCCUCCCAGUGAACAGAACUUCAAGUAGUAUCUUUGGUUGGCUACUAUGUCUGAACUUAGAGAAGGCCAGAAGUACAGAUCCACACGAAUUCAUGGGUAGUUGCUGAUGGCUUGGCUAGAUAGGGAGUUGGAAGACACAGGCCUGUAAGGCUGGUGACAAGGAAGUCUAGGAAUUAUCUGUGGAUGGACCUCUGGGAAUGGGUACAGGCUGAAGAUAUUUGUCUCAGGUUAAUGCCCACUGAUAUGGUUUGGCUCUGCGUUCCCACCCAAAUCUCAUCUUGUAGCUCCCAUAAUUCCCACGUAUUGGAGGAAGGAGCCAGUGGGAGAUGACUGAACAAUGGGGUUGAGUCUUUCCUGCACUGUUUUUGUGAUAAUAAGUCUCAUGAGAUCUGAUGGUUUUAAAAAUGGGAGUUUCUCUGCACAAGCUCUCUCUUUGCCUGCUGCCAUCCAUGUUAAGACAUGACUGGCUCUUCCUUGCCUUCCACGAUGAUUGUGAGGCCUCCCCAGCCAUGUGGAACGACUGUUAAGUCCGUUAAACCUCUUUCUUUUGUAAAGUGCAGUGUUUCAGGUAUGUCUUUAUUGGCAGUAUAAAAACAGACUAAUACACCCAACAAAGGGCAUCCAUAGCAGAGGAAGCUCUUAUUAAUCAAGUUGACAAAAUAAUGUGCUGAGGUUAUCGGUUACAUUAAUUAUAAACUCAGUGCACAUUCCCCAGCUACUACACCACUUGCUCAGUGGGUCCAUAAAUAAUGCAGCCACAGCUGCAAGGAUAGAGGCUAUGUGUGGGUUCAACAUCAUGGGCUUCCCCUUACCAAGGCUGACAGGCAUUACUGCCAACUGUCCAAUCUGUCAAGAGCCAAGACCAAUAUUGAGGCUGCAAUAUGGCACCAAUUCCAUGGCUAAUGGCCAUCUACCUGAUGGCAGGUUGACUAUAUCAGACCUUUCCCAUCAUGUAGGGGACAGAGAUUCAUCUUCACUGGAAUAGACACAUAUUCUGGAUAUGGAUUGCCUUCCCUGUGCAUAAUUCUUCUGCUAGUACCACUAACCAAUCCAUAUACUCACAAAAUGCCUGGUCUACCAUCAUGGCAUUUCCCAUAGCAUUGCUUCUAAGCAUGGAAUCAAUUUCACAGCAAAUGAAAUGCUGCAAUGAGCUCAUGCCUAUGAAAUUAACAUACCGUAACACCCAUAAGUGGUUAAUCUGAUUGAAAGGUGGAAUGGUUCACUCAAUACUCAGUUGAUAGUUGGGAGAUACUACACUGAAAGGAUGGAGUUCGAUGACAGUACAUGCUUUGAGUCAGAGUAUACAGUUCUAGAAAUCACAGGGUAGAAGUGGGAAUGGCUCCUUUCAUGAUUGUACUUCUCACUCUAGCAAUCUCAAGCUUGCUGGUUUGGUGGUCUUAGCUCCCAGGGGAUCCUUCAAUCAGAGACAUAACAAUGGUUCCACUGAUGUAGGAUCUAAGAUGACAUUGCCCUCGGUUUCUGAUGCCACUGAACCAGUAAGCAACAAAAUGCGUAACUAUACUGGCGUGAAUGAUCAAUCCUGAUUACCAAAGUGAGAGUGUAUUGCUAGUGCACAGUGGAGGCAAAAGGGACUAUUUCUUAACAUAGGAGAUUCUCUGGGUGCCUGAGUACUUCACAUCCAAUAGUAAAGGCUUAUGAAAAAUUACAACAACCAAAACAGGUACCACAGGAGGACUCAGAUUCUUCAGUAAUGAGUAUUUGGGUCCCUCCACCAGGUAAAGAACUCUGACCAGUUGAGGUUCUGGCCAAGGGCAAAAGAAAUCUCAAUGGACCGACUGAGCAAGUGGUGUAGCUGGGGAAUGUGCAGAGGUUAUAAUUGCUGUAACUGAUAACCUCAGUACAUUAUUUGGUUUAUAGAAAUGAUGGCCAUAGUAGCUUUCAAUAUUUUCCAGUUUCCUUUUGUAUGUAUUUAUUUGUCCUAACCAUUUUUAUGUUCUUCCAUUUUAACUUAAUACACGUUUUUGGAGGUUAAACUUACUUUAUUUUUGAGACAGACUGGAAUGCAGUGGUGUAAUCUCAGCUCACUGCAACCUCUGCCUACCAGGUUCAAGUGGUUCUCCUGCCUCAGCCUCCUGAGUAGCUGAAAUAGACAGGGUUUCACAAUGUUGGCCAGACUGGUCUCCAACUCCUGACCUUCAGUGAUCUGCCCGAGACAAAUUGGUCUGCAUGUGGAGCUGUAGUGCUUUAGCUAUCCACCUUUAGAUGAAACCAACAUAUCAUGCAGGCCAAUCCAUCCUGACCUCCCAAACUGCUGGGAUUACACACAUGAGCCACCACGCUGGCCACAAUUAGGUCUUUUGGGUAACAGAGCAUUUGGUGGAACAGUGACAGAACUUGAAUAAAUCAUACAGCCAACAAUGGAUACAAUGACUGCUGGUACUGGGAUUCUCGUGUUGGGGAAAGGGAGCAAAUGUCACUUGUAAGGAAGCAUAGCUGUAUCGUUAGGUGGAAAUGUAGAGCUGUUCCAUUGUUGCUUAGAAGUGUUAAAGUGUAGAGAAGAGCAAAUGUGGAAGCUGAAUAGCCAAAGGGGUGGACUGUGACCAUUACCAAUUUCUUGCUUCAGCCACCAAUCCAUCUGUCAUUGCCUGCUCUGUGAUAAUGAAGCUGGGCCAUAUGACAAUUUCUCCUUAUACACAAAGCUAGAGGAAAGGUUAAGAGGAAAAAAGUACUUGGAGCUCACACAAAGCUAGAAAUCAAGCCUGGUCCUACUAAGCCACAUUAGAACACCUCCUCAGAGGGGUCUGGUCUCAGUAUCGGGGAAGUAGUAUGUUGUUUUGUAAGGGCACUGGAAGGAUGCUGGAGGGAUUUUUCCUGGCUCUGGCUUGCUCCUCUAGGUAGACACCCUCAGUGCCCGCUCUAGCAACUCACAGCUUUACAGUGAAAUGCCACUAGUGUGGUACCUCCUAUACGUGGCUUACCCCCCCACCACCUAGGAUGACUUCCCAGAAGAUUGCCAUUGGUGCGACAAACAUGGGUGGCUUCCCUGGCACUCUCUCAGAUUUACAGCUACUGUGAGCUUCACCUGGAGGGCCAAGACUGCAUGCUGUCUCAUGAGGCUGAAAUUCAGCUUGACGGAGAGUGGGUGGUGGCUGCUUCCUACAUCUGCUGUCUAUCUCUGGAUUCUUUAAAGUUCUUUUUGCUGCUUCACAAAUUUCUUAAAAUUCUGCAGAUAAUAAUGCCUCAUCACUGCAAUCCACUGUUACAGCUAAUAUCUCUUCAUAUCAAACUUUUCCGGUUCAUAUUGUGUGGCUUCGGUCUCCUGAUUGUACUCUGGUUGACACAGAAACAUUAUCAGAGAUGCAAACUUGAAGAAAAUAUUUUUAAAAAUCUAUUCACCAUGGAUUAGCAGCCAGUGUAUUUUCAGAUUAAAACAAAAACCCCUACAAAAUAAGCAAAAAAAAUAGACAACUCACCAAGGAAAUAAUUUCACUCACUAGAAUAUUAAAAUUUAAAAACUGUUCAGCUAUCAAGUGAUCUGCUGCUGGUGGGAAGUGGAAAGUAAUCUGUGAAAAUCCUUUGUGUGGAAACACUAUGAAGCAGCUUUCCACGCCUCCAUUUCUACUCUGGAGGAAGUCACACAUAGAGUGGCAGGUGCAAACAUGCUCUGUAAAAUUGUUGGUAUGAACUAAAAACUGCAAACAGCUUGCCUUUCAACAGGUAAAUACCUGCGUAAAUCAUGGUAUCCAUACUACAUAUAACAACAUGGAAAUUAAGAAUCUGGUGUAGCCAUAUACACUAACUUUGAAAGAUCUCCAAAAAGUGAGUGAACAUUACAGGAUGAUGAUAAAAUAAAAAUCUACAUUACGUAUUACCAAAGGUACAUACAAUUAAGUGAUUAUAAAUUCAUUAACUGUAAAUCAGUUACAGUGGUUCCCUCUGUAUCACUUACCACUCUGGUAAGUGGAGGAAGUCAAGAAGGGGAAAGGGCUGGGGAUGCAAUUUGUUUUCUAAGAAGUAUAUUUAAGAAAAUCUAUGUAUUAAUUGAAUAAUUUAAAAAUAAUAGAUUAAAUACCCUAUCUGGAACUUUUUCUUACAGCUGGGAUGAAAUCAGAUUGGAUUCUGGAAUGACAAAAACACAUUGGAAGCACUGGUCAAGGCCAGGUUCUGUGGCUCAUGCCUGUAAUCCCAGCACUUUGGGAGGCCAAGGAGGGCAGAUCACCUGAGGUCCAAAGUUCGAGAUCACCCUGGCCAACAUGGUGAAACCCCAGCUCUACUAAAAAAUAUAAAAAUUAGCUGGACACGGUGGCAGGCACCUGUAAUCCCAGCCACGUAGGAGGCUGAAGCAGGAGAAUCACUUGAACCUGGGAGGUGGAUGUUGCAGUGAGCCGAGAUCAUGCCACUGCACUCCAGCCUGGGCUACAGAGUGAGACUUCCAUCUCAAAAGUUUGUUUCUAAUGUUUACUGCAGUCAUUAAGAUUACCAUCAAAUUUCAUAUUACUUAAACUAAACGUGAUUAUAUGUAAGGCUAAUACAAAACCCAAAAUUCAUUCUUUCUAAAGCAAAUUAUUCAGUCUACCCUUGCAGGUUUUAAGGCUUAUAGAGGAGUAUAUUCUUAGUCCAAGUCCAGUGAUUUAAAUUAGAACAUAAUUUGGCCCAACAGAAUAACAAGAACCACAUUUUACAGUCACAGCAUGCAGCUUGAUAGUAAUUUAUACCAAACAGUAGCUUGGUUUUUACUUGAUACACAGUAUGAACUAAAAUGGCAGAAAGUCACAAACUAGCUUUCAGAUAUGUAAAAACAAGAUAGCAUGCCUCUCAUAAAUAUCGAUUUGUGGAAGAUCAAUUUGCAAAUCACUCCCAUAGGUGUACCAAGUCCUCCCUCCACCUAUUACUUCCAAGGCUCUGCUUUCUAUUGACAUAUAAAUAUUUGCCUUAGUUACUAUCUGCGAGUCUUGAGAAGCAAUACAAAUUGAGUAGAAAACCCACCCCAAGCAGACUGUUAAGAUAAAUCCACUAUACAUUACAUUUUAUAAGCCAAACGCAGUAACACACUCCACUCAAUAGAAAAGAGAUUAAUUCAAUAAACAUGUAGAUUUAUUUUAAAUCAGUUUGGUACAUGAUACAGAUUGGUUUUGCAGUUUUUAAUGAACUGAAAUAAAAAUGUCUAAAUACAGCAGUGUCUGCCUGUGCAACAAGUAUCUAAGGUAAAAUAAGGUAUUUGAUAGAACAUCUGCAAGGACAAAUCAGAUGAAAAAUCUGAAAAGGUUUCUAUAUACCUUCUGGAUUUUUUUAAAAACCCAAAAAUUAUUAAUGGCUCAAGAUACUACAUUGCUAAAGUUAGGGGAAAAAGUAAAAAGGCUGUGAGUUCUGUUGCAAGAGGUCAUCUGUAGACUUGCAAAAUCUAAUUUUAUAUUAUGCUAGUUGUUGGUGCUCAAAAUUACAGAAGCUUCCAAUCAUUACAUUUCCACAAAAUUUGCUACAUAUGUUGACAUUAAUGUGUGUCAGGGAAUUCUUACCCAGGUAAACAACAAUUAUUACAUCACUGUAGCUAAUUUUUGCCACCUUGGGAGGAAUGGAAUUCUGCAUAUUUUCAAAUUAAUCCUACAGCACUCACUAAAAACUAACAGCCAUGGCACCAUAAUAAAUUUUGUGAGGUACCUAGAAUAUUACUAAUGAAAACAAAAAAUGUGAGGUAAACCUACCUUUCCCCAAGAAACUUUGAAGCCAGAGAUUUUAAACAAUUAAGGCACUUGAAAACAUUAGGUAUAUAUACAAAUGUGCAAGUAAAACAAACUUUACCUGUACCAACGAGUAACAAAGAAACAGUAUAUCUUCAUCUUAACCUUUAAUAGUUAUCUAAAUGCAGACUUUCAGUUUAUGAAAUGAACCAAAGCAAGUUUUCGUUUCCUGCUAUAAAAUAUUGAAAAUCAAGUGUGAAACUCAGCCACUACAGGCUAAAGAAACUAAAUAAAAAACAUUAAUGACCUAGAAAAGCAAAAGCCUAUUUUAAACUACUUAAAGCCUCUGAACUAGUCCAAUGAGUCAAAGGCAAGGGAGAAGUGAUCCUCUAAAACUGAAGACGACCCCUCUAAAUGAGAAAACUAGAGAAGUAAAAGUAUGCAUGCUUAUUACACAAUGGGAAACCAAGAAGAAAGGAAAGGAGAGAAAAAGAAAAAGCACAGUUUAUUCAUCCAGGACAAUCAGUAAAUAUCUACCGUAACUGGAUCAACCAAAAAAUCCUUAGGUGUUCUGAAAUUACACCGGUCACUUCUGCUGUCUUAAAACUUAAAAUGAUUGUCUCAUUUAAAUAGGAAAUGAUACUAAAAUAUGAUUGUCUCACUUAAAUAGUAAAUGAUUCUAAAAUAAUAUAUUUCCUUCUUACCUCACCAAAGUCACUUCUCAAGAAAGUUUGCUGGAAACCCUUUCAAGGUACAAUAGUGCUAGCAUACUUUUUAAAGUACAAAGGAAAGUAUAAUUAAAUCAAUUUAUCUCUAUACUUUUUAACAGCCGAAAGAAAAAUGUUGAGAGGUUCAAUACAGGAAGGCUUUCAAUUUUGUAUAAGAGCCUGUAGCUUAAGUUUCUCUGCUCUGAAAUAAAGUAAAUUUUCAAUUAAAUAUUAACAGUAUAUCUAAAACAGGUUUACUACUGCUCACAUCAAGGUACAUCCACUGACCAAUCCUUAUGUUCCUUAAUGUGAAAGAACAAAUCAUAGGCAUUAAGCUAGAGCUUACCUUUCACUGUCUUCUAAGGCACUGUUCUUUAUUUUCUCAAUGACAUAAGGUGCUUUACACGUAUGAACAACCUGCUACACACUAAUGGUAUCCUUUCCAUUCAUUUCUUUAAAUCUGGAAUGUAAUUCCCUGUGUGGCAUCUUAUUUCUAAUGUAGAAAAAAAAUAACUUAUCAAGCACAAAAUUUUACUCUAAGGAUACCAUUUGGUACUACUAAAUUUAUAAAUUUAUUCCACUUUUGAAAUGAUACCCAAAAAUCCACCUAAUUGAUUCUCAUUUGGCACAUUCUUCUCUAUUCUGUUCAUGAAAUCAAAAUUACUAAAUUUAAACUGCCAAGAGUCAUGUUGUUGUCUGCACAAGACAACAUUUUUUCCAUCACUCACAGAAAGUUACAUUUGGCAUGUUAAGGAAAAAAAAAAACAAACC